rnacentral:tRNA from 1 species
GUUUCCGUAGUGUAGUAGUUAUCACGUGCGCUUUACACGCGCAAGGUCCUCGGUUCGAACCCGAGCGGAAACA